CGUAGGAAUAUACCUAGUAGUGGGGGACAACUCGGGGAAACUCGAGCUAAUACCGCAUACGCUCUUCUUUUCUCUUUAUUGAGGAGGAGGAGGAAAGUGGGGGAUCUUCGGACCUCACGCUAUUAGAGUAGCCUGCGUUGGAUUAGCUUGUUGGUGGGGUAAAGGCUCACCAAGGCGACGAUCCAUAGCUGGUCUGAGAGGACGAUCAGCCACACUGGAACUGAGACACGGUCCAG
rnacentral:rRNA from 1 species